GGAGUAGCCCCCGAGCCUUAGGUUGAAUCGAAGAAUUAGGCUAAGGGUCAAUCUUGUAAUUUCACAUCUCAUUUUCCUAAAAAUCCAAAGAAAAAACUUUUCAGCCGAUGGGCACGUGGCACACAGCCCCCGAGCCGUUACACGACUAGUUUGGGUAUAAGGGUCAACCACUAGUCAACAUGACCGUUCGCCAACUGUAACCUUAUCUUCUUCUGAUAAAGUUGGAAACUGUAGUCCGUUGCGUAAUCUUUGGGCAUUUAAAAAAUGGAAUAUUCCCCAUUAAUUUUGCCUCUAUUUUAACUGUGCUGCGGUUAUAAAUAAUGGAUGAAAUCAUCGCUUCCGUUUGCACCUAAGCCAUUUGCCCUUCCAUCUUCCACACUGUAGCCCUAGCACCACCGCUCUCUGAUCCUUAAGCUCGAGUGCCAGUAUCUCGC
rnacentral:lncRNA from 1 species